rnacentral:tRNA from 1 species
GGAGAAAUAGCUCAGUGGUAGAGCACAUUCUUAGUUAUGCAUGAGGUCCUGGGUUCAAUCCCCAGUACCUCCA